rnacentral:lncRNA from 10 species
UCAAACUCCUGACCUCAAGUGAUCCACCCUCCUCAGCCUCCCAAAGUGCUAGGAUUACAGACGUAGGCCACCAUGCCAAUUGUCCCUUUGUAAAUGCUGUAUAAUUUUGAAUACGUAAGAGUCAGUCUUGUGUCCCUAUCUUAUUUAGCUUUGGGAGAACAAAGAUAGCAGAGGAUAUUACAACUUCCAAGGACCCAAACAUCUGUUCAUCAAUAAACUAAACCAAAAGCGCAUUGGUAAAAUUCAAAAGCCAGAUCCUCUAUGUGAAUCACAUUUAGUAUCACUGGAUAAUAUCGAGACUCUCAAAUAAUUUAAAAAGGAAACAGAUGGUUCAACAGUACUGACUGGGUGCUUCCUCAAGUGGUUAUCCUCACCACCCGGUGGAGUGGCUACACUGGUCCUGUUUCCUACCAUGCUUUCUCAUUUCACUGCAUUCCAGCGUUGUUUAGGGCCAGGGAGUUCCGUCAGCUAACAAAGCCCAAGAAAGCUAAUGCCAAGUGCAACAUGUGGACAUAGCUUUUGAUGGUGUAAAUUUCACCUUUAAUGCUAAUGGACUUAAAUCUUUUAACAAGCAAGAUAGAAGAUGAUAUGGAAGAGCUCAUGUAUACCUGUCAUUACUACCACAUUUAAUCAAAUCUAAGAAAUCACUGGAUAUCAGAGAUGUUAAGAUGUGAAAAAAAGUCCUUAAAAAUUGCUGAAAUACGGCAUUUGAAAACAACUAAGGUCCAUGCUGUAUUCACCAUGGCUCACCUGUAGCCCUUUUCCAAAAUAAAAAUAAACACUAAUAUGUGGCCAUUGGGUUGCAAGAUCCUUGAGAUUCAGGACUCCUAUAAAUGACUUUAGUGAUGGCUCAAGCAGAUAUCAUUUUAAGAUUUCUCUGCUGUGACAAAUCUCAUUUCAGUUUUAAAAUGCCUUGUGAUUACACAGUACUAUUUGCAUGGUGCCCCUUUUAGCUUUUAGGUCACUUAUAUUUUGUCAAUCAGUCCUACAGUGUUAUUUAUUUAUCUAUCACUUAAUAACCAUGCAGCAGAGAAUAAUUUCUCUGGCCUAGCAUGGUAAUUUGUACUAUAAUUUCACCCCCGCUGCUGUAAACUUAAAUUCAGACACAGCUAUGAUUGCUAAAAUUAAGAUUUCUAGGUCACUUUUCAGCUUCUGUGUUCCUGUCUUUCAUCAUUUCAUCUCACUCCAUCUUCUUCAGCCGAAGUAUGGUUUGUCAAACACAUAAGCAAAGAAAUAUGCCAGUUGUUUCUUUCAAAUGUGGUGCAUACUUGAUAGAGCAGGUAACAUUCAAGUACUUACAUGAACUGGGGUUUUUUUUAUGGCCAUCCUGUAUAUCCUAAAGUUAAAUUCAGAGAAAUGUGAAAGGGGAUAUUUUUUAAAUCACAGUCAGGUUACUUCCUAGAAACUUCUGCAUUAGGAAAAAUCAAAUGGAUAAAGAGAAAUAAUCAAUAUUACUAACUGGGAAAACUAAGCACAUCCCAGAAACAAGUAGACAUUGUCUGUGGCAGGAUUUCUCCAACAUGUCAUAUUUUAAUGGCACAGUCUUUUGAAAAGGGACAUUUUUUUCCUUUCAUUUUCCAUUUUUACACAGGAAAUAGUCUUUGAAUUGUGCCAAAUUAAGUAGAGUAUGCAUAGUGGUGGGGCAAGUGGUUAGAAUCUUCUCAAAGCUCAUCGUAGUUCAUAUUUGAGAGUAUGAGCAGAAUUCCUCAGCAAGAUGGGAGAUGUGAUUUCUGAAAUAUCAAACCUUGUCCUUUAUUUUUCUAGACUCAUGAGUUUCCAGCUGUUAUUUAAAAGGGAACUCUGAAUUCCAUUUCCCUCAAAUCGUUCAAUAUUUUAAGUAAG